rnacentral:lncRNA from 1 species
CUGCUCCCGUGAUGCUGGGCAAGGCCGUGGGCCUGUCGGUUCCCCCUCCCCGGGGUGGAGUGUCCACGGGAGGCGUGAGCCGCGGCCCGGGGGCUGUUUGCCCUCCCCCGUGGCGUGGCAGCCUGCGUGAGCACCGUCCCGAGGGAGCGUGUUGUGGCCGGCACGGCAGCACUGGCAGGCCGCAGUGUUGCCCCCGCGAUGAGAGCGGACGCGUGGCCGUGGGUCGGGGUGACUGGCGUCUCCGUCUACCUCUCAGGCUGUACGAAGACCCGCAGAGUCUGUUUGAGUGACACCAGGAUGGAAGAGUCCAACGGGGACCUGCCCACCCAGAGAGCCGCCGUCCUAUCCGAGCUGUGCUGUGAUCACGUCACCAUAACAAACCUGGUGGAAGUGCUGAGAUCUUUGGUGGCUUUAAGUGACCCUCAGGAGGGGAAGCUGACUCAGUCUCAAGAGAAAGCACUGAACUGCCUGGGUGUUGGGAACACCGUAUUUGCAGCUGUUCCUGGGCCUAUGUCCAAGACCUCAGUGGAGUGACAGCUCAAAGAUGGGAGACCAGGAUGCAGCCUCUGGUAACAGACAAAGCUUUUGCACAACCUACAUUUAUGUUGCACAGAAGCAGCGUCAUAUACGUGAGAAAAUUAAGUUCAGUUGAAGCUUAGCAGUUUAAGAAAGACCACAACCCAGUACUUCCCCCUUUGGCUGCUGUUUAUAUUAUUCCAAAGAAAUUUCCCUUUAAAGAAUGGUAGUAAUAUUAAUUUUAUUGGUGUAUCUUUUCAUACAAAAUUCUAAUAAAGCCAGCUAGCUUUUGUAUGCUAAAAAUGUG